UACAAGAACUGAAUAUAGAGUAGUGGUUUAAUAAUGGUUUUAGAAUGUAAAUGAUCGCAGAAGCAACAUGGAAUUCAAUAGUUGAUAUUUUGACUAUAAUUACUUUUUGACACUAACGACUUGCCACUGGUAGCUUCUUAAGCGGAAGAUCCUAUUCAAUUCCUUAUCUCAUUGUUGGAUUUGCCAUUCAAUUCCUUAUCUUACUUUUGUAUUUUUCAUGGAGUUUGGGUGCACAAUUACAAGGAGAGAAAGAGAGGGUGGGUGCAGUCAUUUUCUCUUUCUAUAUCUUUCCUUUCCCAAUUUGCGUCUCUGGUUGUUGGCGUUCGUCUUCCUCCUCAAGGUUUGAUUAUAUUGGGGUUGAAUUCUAAAGUGAGGGUGUGGGGGAAUAAGGGUGCAAGGGAAUAAGGGUGCAGGAUGUGCGCGUAGGGUGCAGGGGUUUCAGGGGUGGUAGGGGGUGGGGUGCGCCUGUGAAUUGCGGAGCUGCUCAGCUCUUCCUCUAUAAGAUGAGUUUCAUCCCUGCCUUAAUUCACUUAAAUCCUGUGAUUUCAUGCCUUUUUUUGUUCUGAUUCUGAGAGCAUGUUUCAGAUGGUGGUUUAAAUUUUUGCUUUGUUCUGCCUCUAGACAGCCGCCACCACCACUUUGUCCAAAUCUGAUGGCUCAGGCUGUAGCAUCUGCGUGAAUCUCCCCGUACAAUUGGACUCCGCAAUGUUUUCCAAAUAAACUCCAAACUCCGAAGGUGCAGCUGAAAAGUUAGAAUCUGAGGCAAUCAAAUCCAAUCCAGGGAAGAGAUUGGAUAGCUUCUGAGGUGUGGCUAUGAUCUGCUCCGACAAUUCCAAAUGGAGAUGAUACUGAAGAAGAUUCUCACAUAAGAAGAGAAUUACAACUCUCGGGCUGAGAGCUGCCAAUGCCUAAACCUCCAACAAAAUGGAAACUUUUUCCAAAACAAAAGGUUGAACAAAAAUAUCUCCAGGAUCCCCAUUUUUUUAAUGGCGCUGUUAAGGUUUUUGUCAAUUGUUAUUUACAAAGGUUGUGACUCUUCGUGCUGGCACCAAAAUAAAGUUUGUAGAAGGUUGUUUACUGACGAUAAAAGAGAAGCAUGCAUAUCAUGAAAAAUAAAAGACGGAAGUUCUGAAGUGACGACCAGGAAAGUUUAGAAGUCUAAUAUAACUGUAAACAAGAAUGUAAAUCCGGGAUGAAAAAUGUUAAUGUAAUUAUGAUUCUGGAUGACUCAUUUGCGAAUUUUAUCUUAAUUUGAAUAAUUUUUUAUCUAGGUGUACAGUUACAUAUGUGAUUUGUUGUUUAUGUGCCCAAGAUUAUACGAUGGUACUCAAUUUGGAUUUGUUGCUUCUUCUAUUUCUCAAGGAAACAGAACUUUUUUGGAAACCAUCUCUUUCUAAUCAAAGACGUUCAAUUUCUUCCCACUCAUUGUACAAUGUGUUUAUAAUUGUGUUGAAUUUAUUCAAAUUAAAUGUGUUUUAUUCAUCCGAUUACAUCUGAAACAACAUGUUCCCGCAGCAACGCGCGGGCAUAUUUUCUCGUAUAUACUAAAACUCAGUUGAGUUUUAGCACUGUUCAGAAAUAGUAAAAGGGCGGAUUUGCCCUUCAUUAGCUAUCCAUUCUAAGCUUUUUAUUGUGAGUUACACAGUUAAAUUACUAAUAUACCACUCCUAUACACGUGUUGCUCAUCGUGUAAGGGAAGAGGGUUGGAAAUGCAGGGGCUCUUUCAUUUGCUUCCAGAACAGAUUUUCUAGCUCUCCCCCCUCGCCACUUCCUCCACGACAACAACGCCUUCAGCCAUUCUCCUUACACUGUGACAACUUCCUUGCCGAUUCGAGCUGCUCGACCACCAUCAACGCCUCCUCAACACGCUUUUCUGAAUUGCUUUACAUCGGCCUUCACCAUUGGCAUAUACCUCGCGACCUCAUCAUCAUGUACUCAAGAAAAAAUCUGAAUCUAUCGCUCUCGAACUCGCCUCAGCCGCAAGUUCAGCGUUGACCGUUAUUUCUCCUCCUUGGCUUCUGUUUCUGUCUCUGACCCGUUCAACUUCAAUUGAGCUUGAGUAAGCAUUCCACGCUUGCCUUCUUUUACGUCCAAGGAAUUUGCAUUUUCAUUGCUUGAUGUAGGAGACACCAUUUUUUUCCUCUAACUUUGUUUCUUCUAAAACUUAAUGGAUCUGAUUUCAAUCCUCUUGCUGAAGAUUGAGAAACAGAAAGUUGGAGGACUGGAUGAUCAAGUAUUAACCCAUUUUAAAAGAAAAGGUAAACCAUGAAAUUCCCAAAGUGAUAUCCCAUGGCCUACAACUAUUUCCUUAUCAAUCAAAUCAUUAUUGGAAGCCUACUCGGAGUCUCCAUCUCUUGGAAGAGUUGUAUUAAUUUGCGUUUGAUUGGAAGGGUUGCAGAGAUUUGAUUCAAAUUGGUGGAUUUGGGUCAACAUGACUGAACAUAUUAGCAGACUUGCAGUCAUUGCAUACAUGGAAUACAAGGAGGUUUGCAAUUGAGCUUUGGUUUUAGUGACUUCUUAAAUUUGGUCAUGACUAAACCCUUUUUUUUUUAACUCUACUUAAAUCGUUUUCGGGGAACCAGUCAUUUGUGUUGUUUCUUCUCUCAACUCUUCGCUUUUAGUUGUCUAACUGUUGGAGUAUGGAUCUUGAUUGAAUUGAUUGUUUUAAUCUAAACUAUUGGUAGUGAUCUUUUAUUUAAUUUAUCAUAUUAUUGAAAGAAUCGCUUAGUACAAUCAGGUUUUAAAAAAAACUUAAUAUCAUUACUGUUUUGGAUUGUGUAGUGUUGAGUAGUAGUUGUUGAUUCCGC
rnacentral:sRNA from 1 species